CCUACUGCGCAUGCGUUGCGGGCGAGCCGAGCCGAGAGCCGAGCCCGAGCCCGAGCUAGGGCCGAGUACGAGCCGAAGUCGAACAAAAAGACGCCGAUGGUAACCGUUAUGCCGUUACUUUGUUUGCACUUGUUCAGUGUUUUGAUUAAUUCUUCAAUACAUUUCUGAUUUCACCUUAUUGAUUCCAUCAUUGAAUUAUGGGUUCUGAUUUGAUCGUGUCAGCUCAGCUGUGCUCCGCCAACGCCAACCGCAACUCGUCUACUCGUCACAAGUCCGCCGGCCCAGCCCAGGACAUGCCGCGGUUUUCCCAAUCAAAACCUGUUGCUUCUUGAAGUUGUGAGAGGCGGUAAGACGAUGAAGUGAUUGCCCGAAGUGCACUGGUAUUUUCUUUAAACCAAAUUCAUGGGCGGUGUGCUACUGGCCGGCCCCGAGAGUGCCAGUUUGAAAACAGACUGGGCAAACCUAACCUGCACUGUAUUGCUCAGGAAUGCUAUGCAAGGCUACUUUCUUUUUAUGACGUGAUUAUGCCAGACUCUCUCCAAGUUUUUACGUGAACUCCACUCAACUCCCUCUCAGUUCAGGAGUACAGUCCUAAUAUUCUUCACUGAGUUUCAUGGCGAGCCCAGAUUGUGAAGUGCAAAAUGGGAAUGGGCGGGCAUUUCCAAGGAAGGCAAAUACUGCAAACUCAUUUGCGGAAGAAACAAGUUCAGAAGAUGUACGAUUUAGAUUGUGCAGAGAAGUGCACUCUACUUUGAUCAGAAAGGAUUUGAAGAAUGCAGGCAGCAUCAGAGGUUAAAGUGUGAAGCUGAAGAGAGGAAUCAAGAUGGAAGACAAGACAAGCUGAAGAACAAAUCAAGAAGUAAAGAGGGAAGGGAAUAAUGAAGACAGGAGAUACGAUGAAGAACGAAUCAAGGAAGUGAAGAGAGAAGGGAAGAAUGAAGGCAAGAGAGAAGAUGAAGAACGAAUCAAGAGGUGAAGAGAGAAGGGAAAAAUGAAGACAACAGAGAAGAUGAA